GGAUCCAGGGGUGUAUGUCCACUGGGCUUGUAGACUCCUUGGUCUGUGGGGAGAGCCAGUAGCCAGACGAAGGCCAGAGUGGGUUCCUCUAAUGUGUGAGGUUCAGUUUUGCAGCCCUUCUUGCUUGAGACCAAAGGCAGUAUUGUUUUUGUGGUUCCCAGGUAAUGGAGACUUGAUUUCCAGCAAUCAGAAAAGCCUCACCAAGCUUGCUUAUCCUUUCCUACCUGGAGUGAGACCCACACCGUCUCAAAGACAAGGAGAAGUCUAAUAUCACCCACACAUUCCUGUCUUCUUUCUUUCAACUGUG
rnacentral:lncRNA from 1 species